AGCACAGACAAAUUGUCAGCAGCUGUGCUCCCCAGGUGAUCAGAAGGGGUGGAAUCAGAGUAGGACCUCCCUGGGCACAUAUAAAAGCCAGCCACUGAAGGGAGAGCAGCUCUUGGACCUGGUUUGCUUCUUGAGGAGUGCUGCACAGCCAGAGAGCCCCUUUGCUAUCUGGAGAUGUGAGAUGGAUCCCUGGUUGACUCUAUUUGUCUGCCUGUUUGAAUUUAUGCUGGUCGUCAAAAUAAAAAGCCUGGGGAAACCACUGAGUUGUGAACGUGAGAGGCAGCUCCUCCAGACUUCUCUGCAAAGAAGCCUGCAAAGGAGUUACAGAUGGGGACACCAGCUACCUGAUCUCUGAAAUGCCAAGGUCUUGCUGCAUGUCACGACAGCAGAUGCUAGCAUGGGUUGUACCUUGCUACAGGAAUCUCUUCAGAGCAGGCAUUCUGCAGACAGAUAUCUGCUCCAAAGAGAAAACUAUGGGUGAUCUGAAUGGUUGGUGCUGUCCUCUGAAGUGGGAGACAGGCCGCAUUUACCUUUUCAGAGAAGUCAGAAUAUAUUGAUGCAAAUUGCCUGGAAACACCUUCAAGCUCUCAAGAUGUGCUUUUACCUGUUUUGAAAUUUUUGACACCCUUCUUUGGUGACAGCAAUGUAUAAUUCCACCAAGAAGUACUGGAGGGUAACAAAAGUAUCACAAAGUGCCUGUUCUCAUACUUUCUGCCAGCCACUGCUCUUUGUGAUGUUCGGAAUAACAGGCUGUUGCCCAGUGAGCCCUUUUUGUCCUUAUUUGCUCUCCUGGCCGAAGCACACACGGCUUGGCUCUCUCGAGAACAUCAAUAAUACUUUGCCUAUUGACAGCAGCUGGGGAUAGGAGCAAAGUAUGAAGUUCAUUAAAGCACAUGGAGUAGCAGGUAGAUAAGCAAUGCAAUUCACUUUGCAGAUUUCAGAGAAUGACUCCCCCAGCAAGCUAGUGCCCAUGCUGGAGCUAUAGGAUGAAACUAUUUAUUGUACACUGCAUGUGAGAAAUACAAGUUUUAUAAAUCAGAUCUCUCCUGUGAGUUGACUCGGUGGCCCUGUCCUGAGAGUUUUCCUCCAGAAGGACCCCUGAGGGAUAUCUCGACUUUAACUAACAAGUCCUGACAACAUUGAGGCUGCAGUUCUACACUUACGAUUCAUGGUUAAGAAAUUCACUUUAGAAAUAAGAAAUUGCAUAUUCAUUUCAUUUCUCAUUAUGAAAAAGGUUUCAAUUGGCUUUAUUCCCUCUACUCCCUUGGAUGAUUGCAGCAACUGAAAAUGUUCUGCCUUACAAGUGACAUAUUCCAGCAGAUAGGAUGGUGCUGCCAAAUAAUUAUCAAAAAGGAGCCUUUGGCAUGGAUAAGGGCACUUUGCACUGCUAGCAAGACAAGCUCAUAUGCCUUCAGGUCUGCUUUUGGUACCUCUUGCCACACCUUUUGACCACGUUUUGGAGAACAUAGCUAUGAAUUUAUCACCAACGCAUCCCUCAGAUAGUGCAUCUGGCACCAGCAGGUUGAUCCAAGCCUGUGCAAUUCACAGAAAGGGAAAUGAAAAUGCUGAAAAACUGAUUUGCCAGAAAAAAAAAAAGGAGCCUCAGCAUGGGGAGGAGGUCUGGGGAAACUGAUGCUGUGUGUGCCAGAGCUGAAACAUGAGCUAUAAUAAAAGGCAGCUCACUGAAUGGUCAGAGUUACAGCAGCUGUUUCCUUGUGAUUGCUGCUUCACAUCUAAUUAGUCCUCAGCAAGUUUUAAGACCAUUCUCAACUAUGAUGAGCAUAUAUUUGAGAGGGAUAAAGGAAACGUGAUUUGCUUUUGCAGGACCUGAGGUGCCCUGCAGGCUGCACUGAAAUCACUGGGAGCUGUGAGCAAUCACCAUCCUUUGAAAAGUCUGAAAUUGAGCAUUCAGGGAGUAAAUUAAGGACAGAGAUCCCUGAUCCCAGCUAGGCCAUAGGAAAGCUGAUGUGGGGAGAGUCUUCUGUCAUGCGUGUUGUAAAGUGAAUUAUUAAAUUUUUAUGCUGGAGAGAUUUUGUUCUUAAGGUUGGCAAAGAUGGAAUGUAUUUCCCUACUUUUUUAUUUUUGAUUCGUUUGCUCUUCUACCCAUGUUGCAAAAUAAGGUUCCUUGAUCAGUUACUGGUGAACAAGAUACUCUCUUCAUUAUGAAGUUUGGUCUCUGUAGGAGUUUACUGGUCUUUCUUCAAAUGCCUGGAAAUGAUUUCUGGGCUCAAGGGAAGGAUGGAGAAAGAGGAGCUUUGACGUGAGGCGUUGGCUGUUCUCAGGAGGAACGUGUGCUAAUGCAU